rnacentral:rRNA from 1 species
GAUGAACGCUGGCGGCGUGCCUAAUACAUGCAAGUCGAGCGAACGGACGAGAAGCUUGCUUCUCUGAUGUUAGCGGCGGACGGGUGAGUAACACGUGGAUAACCUACCUAUAAGACUGGGAUAACUUCGGGAAACCGGAGCUAAUACCGGAUAAUCUUUUGAACCGCAUGGGUCAAAAGUGAAAGACGGUCUUGCGGUCACUUAUAGAUGGAUCCCCGCUGCAUUAGCUAGUUGGUAAGGUAACGGCUUAUCAAGGCAACGAUGCAUAGCCGACGUGAGAGGGUGAUCGGCGACACUAGAACUGAGACAGGGUCCAGAGUCCUGCGGGAGGCAGCAGUAUGGAAUCGUCCGCAACGGGCGAGAGCCUGACGGAGCAGCGCCGCGUGAGUGAUGAAGGUCUUCGGAUCGUAAAACUCUGUUAUCAGGGAAGAACAUAUGUGUAAGUAACUGUGCACAUCUUGACGGUAACUAAUCAGAAAGCCACGGCUAACUACGUG